rnacentral:lncRNA from 1 species
AGGCCAGGUGCUGUCAUCCACAAAGGAUGGGUGAAAUAACUGGGGUCCUCAGGUCACGGUCUAGCCACACCAGCUUCUCCCAAGUACUAACCAGGCUUGACCCUGCUUAGCUUCAGAGGUCAGACAAGAUCUGGCAUGUUCAGGAUGGUAUGGCUGUAGACCAGGCUGGGUUCUGGCCAGAGCUGUUGCACUAGGCAAUGCUGCCAGAGAUGAGGAGGCAUCAGGGCAGUCAUCCCUUCUGCUGUUUGCCCCAAGAAUGCCAUACAAACCUGGGGAUGACCCUUAAAAGUCUCCCGUCACCCCCAGUAUUGGGGGGAAGCUGACUAUU